AUUGCCUACAAAGGCCAGAAGAAGGGGUGAUAUCCCUUGGAGCUGGAGUUAUAACAGUUGUAAGCAGCCCCAUUUGGGUACUGGGAACAGAAAACAGUAAGCACGCUUAACUGCUGAACCAUCUCUGCAGCCCUGAAAUAAGUACUAUUAUUAUUCUUGAUUUACAGACAGGCAAGUUGAGGACUAGAGAAAUACGAUAACUUGGCCUGGGGUGUAUACUUAGUAAAUUUGGAGCAAGGAUGCAAACCCAGGCAGCUCCUCUUAAGACUUGGUGUUCUUACCCAUGCUCUUAGCAUCCCAAUGCAGCACUCCAUAGAACCUAAAAGAUCACUGUCCUGCAGGGGCCACUGACCCCGACAUGUAGCAACCUUAUAUGCUAGGUAAUGAUACAAAAAGUCCAUUUCCCUCAAGCCUUCCCCAAAAAGAAGCUAAGUGCUAACUUGUAACACGUAAGAGACCUUACCAGCUCUGGCAGAGCCCCAAUCCCACCCUGGUUCCUGUGACACACCUCCCUGAGAAAGAGGUAAGUCCUCUGAGCUGGCAGAAUCCUGAGAAAGGGCAUGGCCAAGAAAGUUACAUCUUUCCAAGCUAAAAUCCAUUUGUAACAAUAAUUUGUUUUUACCACUCAAGUUUUUUUUUCUCUCCUUCUUUCUUUCUUCCUUUCCUUCCUCUUUUUUUUUUUUUUUUUUUUCUCUCGAGACAGGGUUUGUCUGUGGCUUUGGAGGCUGUGCUGGAACUAGCUCUUGUAGACCAGGCUGAUCUCGAACUCAAAGAGAUCCGUCUGCCUCUGCCUCCUGCGCCACCAACGCCCGGCCUUCCUUCCUCUUUUUAAGACAGGGCUCACUAUAUAGCCGUGGCUGGCCUGGAAUUCACUAUGUAGACCAGGCUUUGCUCAAGCCAACAAAGAUGCACCUGCUGCCUCCCACCACCACCCCACCAUCCCAUGACCCCACCACCCUAGUGCUGGGAUUAAAGAAUGUACCACCACUUGUAUCAUAUCCAGGUUUUUUGGUUGGUUGUUUUAGUUUGGUUUUGAUUGUUGUUGUUGUUGUUUUGGGAGUCUUAUAAAACCUGGGGUGGCCUCAAACUCACUACGACCUUGAAUUCUCCAUCCUCCUGCUUCUGCUUCCCAAGUGCUAGGAUUAUAAAAUGUACAACCACUAUGUUUCUAUGAAACUAGAAAUCUAUGUAUGUAGAAUGAAAUCUCUGCACUCUAUAACACACAAUAGACUCCAGUCUGAGCUGAGGUCAUUCAGUCAACGAACCUUGGUGUCUUGGAACACUAACAGGUGCAGCACAAAGUGUACAUGUUGUAUGCUCAGAAUCAAGGCUGCAAUGAAAAAAAAAAAAACAGCACAGGUAAGCACUGCCAGGAAAAAAAAAAAAGCUGUUGGGAGUCUUAGGAUUGAUUUUGAAAUGAUUUUUGAUCACUGCACACUAAGAGACCUUUCACUGUUAUCAGUCUUCAUAACCCUCCACUUUAAGUUAUGUGACCACAGGUUAAGAAGCCCUGGUUCACAGAGGUGUGUGUUUCAGACUCAAACUAAAAAGAAGAAAAGAGCUAAAGACAAACAGGAUAUGAUUGGCCAUACACCUAGGUUGUCUGGUACACUGUAAUGAGGACAGGAACUUGGGUGGGAUUGGGGGCUCUGUGGGGCUAGCAAUAUGCUCUUUUUGCCUGGUUACUAGAUAUCCACUACAACAAUUUAUUACCCUUUCUAUUGUCAUUGUUGUCAUCCUUUUGAGACAGGGUCUAACUGUGUAGCCCUAGCUGGUCUGGAAAUUCUUAUGUAGAACCAGGUUGGCUAUGAAUUCUACUCCCACUGCCUCUGCCUCUCAAGUAUCUAUUGUAUGUUUACAAUUUUGUUGUUUUGAGACAGAGACUCACAUAGGCUAGGUUGACCACAAACUCACUACAGAGCUGAAGAUAACCUUGAACCUCAUAUCUUCCAAAGUCAGCCUCCCUAAAUGUUGGAGUAACAGAGCCUUCAUCCAGUAGCUGAUGGAAGCAGAAGCAGACACCCACCGCUAAACACUGAGCUGAACUCUGGAAUCCAGUUGCAGAGAAGGAGGAGUGAUGAGCAAAGGGGUCAAGACCAGGCUGGAGAAACCCACAGAAACAGCUGACCUGAACAAGGAGUUGCUCAUGGACCCCAGACUGAUAGCUGGGAAACCAGCAUAGGACUGUUCCAGACCCCCUGAGUGAGGAUGUCAGUUUGGAGGUCUGGUUAAUCUAUGGGGCCUCUGGUAGUGGAUCAGUAUUUAACCCUAGUACAUGACUGGACUUUGGGAACCCAUUCCACAUAGAGGGAUAUGCUCUUAGCCUAGAUACACAGGCGAGGGUCUAGGCCCUGCUUCAAAUGAUGUGACAGACUUUGAAGAUCCCCCAUGGAAGGCCUCGCCCUCCCUAGGGAGCAGAAAGGGGAUGGGAUGGGG
rnacentral:lncRNA from 1 species